GCUUCCCUUCCUGUGUAUUACAUGUCUAAUAUCCUUUUAAGUAAAUCCACCAUUAAUAAACUCACUUCCAUAAUUAGAAAGUUCUGGUGGACAGGUAUUGAUAAGGAUAAUGCUUCCAAACCUAUCUGCUUUAGGGCUUGGGAUGAUAUUUGCAAACCUAUGCAUCAAGGUGGUCUAGGCAUUAGAGAUCUUUAUAUGAUGAAUAAGUCUAUGGUU
rnacentral:rRNA from 1 species